rnacentral:rRNA from 1 species
AACCGGGAAGAAUGCCUCGCAAGAGGAGUGACGGUACCGGUAUAAGAAGCCCCGGCUAACUACGUGCCAGCAGCCGCGGUAAUACGUAGGGGCCCAGCGUUGUUCGGAAUUACUGGGCGUAAAGGGUUCGUAGGCGGUGUGGCAAGUUGGGAGUGAAAUCUCUGGGCUUAACCCAGAGACUGCUUUCAAAACUGCCGUGCUGGAGUGUGGGAGAGGCGCGUGGAAUUGCAGGUGUAGCGGUGAAAUGCGUAGAUAUCUGCAGGAACACCCGUGGCGAAAGCGGCGCGCUGGACCACUACUGACGCUGAGGAACGAAAGCUAGGGGAGCAAACAGGAUUAGAUACCCUGGUAGUCCUAGCCCUAAACGAUCGGGACUUGGGGUGCCGCACGUUCGUGCGUCGUCCCGGAGCUAACGCGUUAAGUCCCGCGCCUGGGGAGUACGGUCGCAAGACUGAAACUCAAAGGAAUUGACGGGGGCCCGCACAAGCGGUGGAACAUGUGGUUCAAUUCGACGCUACGCGAGGAACCUUACCUGGGCUCGAAGCGCACUUGACAAUCUGUGGAAACACGGACUUCCCGCAAGGGACAAGUGUGGAGGCGCUGCAUGGCUGUCGUCAGCUCGUGCCGUGAGGUGUUGGGUUAAGUCCCGCAACGAGCGCAACCCCUGCACGUAGUUGCCACUCCGCAAGGAGGGAACUCUACGUGGACUGCUCCGGAUAACGGAGAGGAAGGUGGGGAUGACGUCAAGUCCGCAUGGCCUUUAUGUCCAGGGCUACACACGUGUUACAAUGCAGGGCACAAACCGUUGCCAACCCGCGAGGGGGAGCUAAUCGGAGAAAACUCUGCUCAGUUCGGAUUGCAGUCUGCAACUCGACUGCAUGAAGCUGGAAUCGCUAGUAAUGGCGUAUCAGAACGACGCCGUGAAUACGUUCCCGGGCCUUGUACACACCGCCCGUCACAUCACGAAAGUGGGCUGUACUAGAAGUCGCCGUGCCAACCGCAAGGAGGCAGGCGCCCAAGGUAUGACUCAUGAUUGGGGUGAAGUCGUAACAAGGUA